GUUCUGAGUUGGCGCAGGCCACUCUUCCACCCUUUGUUUAUAACACCUUUGUUGCUUUGGCGGGCCGCCCUAGGCCACCGGCGUCAGCUGGUGCGCGCCCGCCAGAGGCCCAAACAACCUGUCUUAUAGUGUUUGUCUGAGUAAAAACUUAAUUGUUAAAACCUUCAACAAUGGAUCUCUUGGCUCUGGCAUCGAUGAAGAACGCAGCGAAAUGCGAUACGUAAUGUGAAUUGCAGAGCUCAGUGAAUCAUCGAAUCUUUGAACGCACAUUGCGCCCCCUGGUAUUCCGAGGGGCAUGCCUGUUCGAGCGUCAUUAUCACCCCUCAAGCCUAGCUUGGUGUUGGGGCUCGCCCGCUGAGGGCGGCCCUUAAAAUCAGUGGCGGCGCCGUUAGGCUCUAAGCGUAGUAAUACUCCUCGCUACAGAGUCCUGGCGGUCCCCAGCCAAAACCCCCCAUUUUUUUAUGAUUGACCUCGGAUCAGGUAGGGUUACCCGCUGAACUUAAGCAUAUCAAUAAGCCGGAGGAAA
rnacentral:rRNA from 1 species